UACGUAGGGUCCGAGCGUUGUCCGGAAUUAUUGGGCGUAAAGGGCUCGUAGGCGGUUCGUCACGUCGGGAGUGAAAACUCGGAGCUUAACUCCGAGCCUGCUUCCGAUACGGGCAGACUAGAGGUAGGCAGGGGAGAGCGGAACUCCUGGUGUAGCGGUGGAAUGCGCAGAUAUCAGGAAGAACACCGGCGGCGAAGGCGGCUCUCUGGGCCUUACCUGACGCUGAGGAGCGAAAGCGUGGGUAGCGAACAGG
rnacentral:rRNA from 1 species